UUACAGCUAGAUCGCGCCGGUGUCCCGCAAGGGGCUGAAAAUGGGAAUGCGGUGCGGGCGUGAAAGCGCCCUAUUCCGCAGCUGUCCCUGCAACUGUAAGCGGUGAGCAUGAUGCAUAAGGGUCGCAAGACCCGGCCACUGGACGCCAAUGUCUGGGAAGGUUCGUGCAUCAUUGCCCUGACCCGUGAGCCAGGAGACCUGCCGGCGUCUGGUCGCUCUU
rnacentral:ncRNA from 2 species